rnacentral:rRNA from 1 species
GGGGAAUAUUGCGCAAUGGGGGAAACCCUGACGCAGCGACGCCGCGUGAGUGAAGAAGGCCUUCGGGUUGUAAAACUCUGUUUUAAGGGACGAAAGACAUAUGUAGUAACUGACAUAUGUAAGACGGUACCUUAAGAGAAAGCCCCGGCUAACUACGUGCCAGCAGCCGCGGUAAGACGUAGGGGGCGAGCGUUGUCCGGAAUUACUGGGCGUAAAGAGCACGUAGGCGGAUAUUUAAGUCUGGUGUGAAAGACCGGGGCUCAACCUCGGGGUUGCAUUAGAAACUGGAUAUCUUGAGGGCAGGAGAGGGCAGUAGAAUUCCUGGUGUAGCGGUGAAAUGCGUAGAAAUCAGGAGGAAUACCGGUGGCGAAGGCGGCUGUCUGGACUGACCCUGACGCUGAGGUGCGAAAGCGUGGGUAGCAAAC